GCCAAAAAAAAAAUAUGUGGGUUUCCGGUUUCCCGACCCUACCUAGCUUUUGGACGUCAAAAUCCCGACCCUAAACUUUUUUAUUGGAUCAUGCUUGUAAGUGUUUCCACUUAGAGGAAAAAGUUUGUGGAAAAUUGAAAUUUGAGGCAAUAUUAGGGAAAUUUAUCUUUGGAUGUUGAAGCACUGACUAAACAAAAUGGCGUCCGCUUGUUCGGAAAAUUAAAAAAAAAAAUUAAAAAAAAAAGUUAAAACCGACCUACCCU